rnacentral:ncRNA from 1 species
UGCGCGGCUCUCCAUUUUCAAGCCCCGCGCGACACAAACAAGGAGGAAUACAGCAAUCCCUGUGGCUCGGGGUACGGCAGUGUGGAGACCUGUCGCAAUGCGGCGCGCUUUUUGCGGCCGCGAGGACACGCCUAGCGGAGGCUGCGUGUCCGGAGUCGGAAUGUAUGGCA